GACGAACGCUGGCGGCGUGCUUAACACAUGCAAGUCGAACGAUGAAGCCUAGCUUGCUAGAUGGAUUAGUGGCGAACGGGUGAGUAAUACGUGAGUAACCUACCUUUAACUCUGGGAUAAGCCCGGGAAACUGGGUCUAAUACCGGAUACGACCAAUCUCCGCAUGGGGUGUUGGUGGAAAGCGUUAUGUAGUGGUUAUAGAUGGGCUCACGGCCUAUCAGCUUGUUGGUGAGGUAACGGCUCACCAAGGCGACGACGGGUAGCCGGCCUGGGAGGGUGACCGGCCCAACGGGGACUGAGACAGGGCCCAGACCCUCAGGGGGGGCAGCAGGGGGGAAUUUUGCAAAAGGGGCGAAAGCCUGAGGCAGGGGCGCCGCGGGGGGGAGGACGGCCUUCGGGUUGAAAACCUUUGUUGGCAGGGAAGAAGAGGGAUUGACGGGACCUGCAGAAAAAGCCCCGGCUAAUUACGU
rnacentral:rRNA from 1 species